GCGAAGGCGUGGCCAGGAGCGAAGGUAGUACGUGGGGUGCAAGCGUUGUGCGGAGUUAUUGGGCGUCAAGCGACGGCAGGCGGUUCCGUAAGUCGUAGGUGAAAGCCCACGGUACAAACGUGGAAGGUCAUUGGAAACUGGGGAACUUGAGUGCAGAAGAGGGGAGUGGAAUUCCAUGUGUAGCGGUGAAAUGCGUAGAUAUAUGGAGGAACACCAGUGGCGAAGGCGACUCUCUGGUCUGUAACUGACGCUGAGGCUCGAAAGCGUGGGGAGCAAACAGGAUUAGAUACCCGGGUAGUC
rnacentral:rRNA from 1 species